rnacentral:rRNA from 1 species
UACAGAGGUCUCAAGCGUUGUUCGGAUUCAUUGGGCGUAAAGGGUGUGUAGGUGGCGCCGUAAGUGGGGUGUGAAAUCUCGGGGCUUAACUCCGAAACUGCAUUCCAUACUGCGGUGCUUGAGGACUGGAGAGGAGACUGGAAUUCAUGGUGUAGCAGUGAAAAUGCGUAGAGAUCAUGAGGAAGACCAGUGGCGAAGGCGGGUCUCUGGGCAACAACUGAC